AGCGUGUUCUUGAUGAUUCUAUAAGAAUUCUUCGUCUCUUGUCCAGUUUAAUGUUAUUUUAAAAUAGUGCUUGUGGUUUAAUCAUUUUUUGAGAUGCUGCUACCAGAUUUGAAAAAUCUGUAGCUAGACGCCAAGAUAAUUUGCUCAUAUAAUUGUUUUUGAAACAGAGCUUAUGCAAGAUAGUUUGUACUGGUAAAGCUGCACAGUGCAUCUGCUGACUUGUGGCCAGAUACCAAGAGGGACCCCAGCUGAUUAGCAAAGCUGUAACCUUGCCAGGGAGUGGAUCUGAGGCACAUGUGGCCUUCCUCAUGACUCAGAGGAGGUGGGGACUAAAAUCUUGUGGGAUGAAAAAGCCUGGCUGGACGCCGGGUCUUCAUGCUGCUGCUGAGAAACUUCGUGCCGCCUUUGCUGUUCCCAGGCUGCUAUUUUCCUGAGAUGAGCAGAGAGGAGUGGGGCUUGGCCCUCAGGCUGGACUCAGAUAUCUGGCUGCUGGACAAAGUCGGGCAAACUUGGUGCAUUGAUUGCGGACAGGCGAGAAUUCGAGCUGUGAGGAUGACGUAGAAUAGAAUACAGAAGAGGGAACGAUGCCCUGGAAAGAGGUUUAAGUAAAUCAGAUGUGGAAAACUUUUUGGCAUUUCAGAACAAUGGCGGCCUGCUCGACGCUUGGCUGAGGCCGGUGCCCUAGAUCUGUGAUGGACGUUGGGAAUUUGGAGAUGACUGUAACACCAGGAAGGUCAUCACUGGCUUCCAGAGGAAGCAACUAUGGGGCCGUUUGAAUACAUCACUGUGACUGUGACAUUGAAAACAAUGCAUCCCCACAACUAAAACAAAUCUCUACUUUUGGAAACAUUCACAAGUUAUAGAAACCCCAUGAUGUUGAAUGAAAAUAAAAAUUCUUUAAAAAUACA
rnacentral:lncRNA from 1 species